rnacentral:sRNA from 1 species
AUUUCUGAAAAAAGUAUUUUUUCGAAAUAAUUGGCUAAAAAUUUGAUUUUUUGAAAAU